rnacentral:rRNA from 1 species
UACGGAGGGUGCGAGCGUUAAUCGGAAUUACUGGGCGUAAAGCGUGCGUAGGCGGCUGGCUAAGCCAGAUGUGAAAGCCCUGGGCUUAACCUGGGAACUGCAUUUGGGACUGGUCGGCUAGAGUUGGGUAGAGGGAAGCGGAAUUCCGGGUGUAGCGGUGAAAUGCGUAGAUAUCCGGAGGAACACCAGUGGCGAAGGCGGCUUCCUGGACUCGAACUGACGCUGAGGUACGAAAGCGUGGGUAGCAAACAGG